rfam:Felis catus isolate Cinnamon breed Abyssinian chromosome A2, whole genome shotgun sequence.
GCCUGGGUGGCUCAGUCAGUUAAGCAUUUGGCUUUAGCUCAGGUCAUGAUCUCACGGUUCGUGGGUUUGAGCCCCACAUCAGGCU